GGACUAGAUAGCCCAACCUUUGUUCGCCGAUGUUAUUGGCUCCUAGAUAAGACCUUUGAACACAUUGUCCUUGUUUAUUACCGUGAAACACAAGAGUUUCAGAAUUUUCCAUCCACAUCGUUGAACUCAAAUUCUGGUUCUGUCUCUAACCCAUCAACUCCGUGGCUUUUAUCGGAGGAACUUGAUUCCAAGGCUACUCAUGUUUAUUCUCUUGGUGAAAAUGAAUUGUCAGGUGAUACUGGCCGAACCUGUCAAAAAUAAAUGAGUCAUAGUUUGUUUGAUCAUUCAUUUUCUAAUCUUUCUUCUUUAUAUUUAAUUAGUUGUUUAAUUUCUUAAAAAAGAAUUCUGGUUUAUUUAUAGUAUAUUUGGUAGUAUGCAUGCCUCAGCUCCUUUAAUGCAUGUCUCUUACAGUAUAUUUGGUAGUCUUUUAUAAUGUUACACCCUUUUUUUUAAUUCCUAAAACCUUUUAACUUUCCAAAUUUUCAUUCAUUCUUUUAGAAAAUUAUUUUCAU